GUUGCACUGAGAAGGCCAACGGUUGGUUUACUGUUUUGGAAAUUAGCGGAGGUUUUUUUCUAUAUGCAGCGCAGUUGGCCGCAUAGUUUUUUUCACCCUCCGAGGGUUGACGCGGGUUCGAGAUUUUUUUUUAAUAUUUUUUUUUGUGGUCAAACAGUAGUUUGCUUGUUUUUAAAUACCUUUUGGUAUAAUUUUGUAGAUAUUGGGGGAUUUUUUUUUGAGAUUUUACAGUCUCGAACUUGCGUCAGGUUUUUUUGAUUCUGAUAUUUUUUUGGUAGGUUUAGUUUUCUUGCCUUCAGAUUUUGUUUUUUUUUAUGAAAGUCGCUGAGGACAGCGAGCGGUUCACCUACGUUGAACCUUAAAUCGGGAAGGGGGGUAUUGUAACGUAGCAGAUUUUUUGAUAGUCGUAAUUAAAUAUUUUGGAUAGAUUUAAUUUUUGAAUGAAACACUUCCUUCUCGUUCAUUGCAUUAUCUGUUGCACUUCAAAUGCACAUAUUUAUGUUUAUCUGUUGUAGGGUUGCCAUACAACAAGUAUUAUUCGAAAUUGUAGGUAUUUUGGCUGUCAUUCCAGGAAAACUUUGUAUAGUUUUGAUAUACUUUAAGUAUUGAUUUUUGGAAAAUAUAAUAUUUUAGAGACAUGAUAACAAAUGUUAUCAUAGGUUUUUUAAGGCUGUUCUGGAAUGAUAUUUGUUAGGUUUUGUUUACUUCAAGGUCUGAUACAGAAACUGGAGUAAUUUUCAUUUAAUGAAUUAGAGUAUUUUAUUGUUUAUUCGUUUGCCACCCGGCUUUUGUUUUGGGUCCUUUAAAUUCGAGAUCAUUCAGUGCGCCGUUCUUUCUGUGACGAGAUCCUCUUGUAUAGUGAUCGGACGGCCGUAUAAGGGCCUGGAGCCCGGCAUGCCACGUGCUGCCGUGGCGUUCCAUAUUUUGUGUGGUGCGUUCUGUCAGUCUGACUGGCAGAAACAUGCUAAGGGUGGGAGUGCUCCUUGGAGAUCCUCGGUCUGCAGUCUGCAGGUCUCCGGUGAGCUCGCUUACAUUUUUUUGUUUAGUCUAUCACAGUGUGUGAGGGCACUCGACUAAUGUGACCAAUUUAUUUGUUUCAUAGGAGUCGGGAAGAAGUAAAGAAUUAGAGAAUUGCAGAAGUAGAUAAUUAAACAAGAACCUUUACAAUUUCGAUGUGCAAGGAAACUUUCUUUGGCGUUACUGGCGCAAGGUGCCUUUGGACCUUGUUUUCGUAUGGAAGGGUCAGCCCUGUCCACGUGGCGAGGGGGCGUCAGCACCGGAGUCCGGGGAGCAGCCGGCUCAUCCCUGACAAGGUGUGUCUCCUGCCCGUUUCCUGCCGGUAGUGAUGUGUAAUUCAGGUUUUAAUUUCUGUGUAAAGUAAUUUCUGAUUUCAUUUAUUUUGAGAAUUCUGGUGCAUAACUUUAGGUAAAUUCAUAUUUAGUUUUUGUAGAAUAAAUGGUUGUAAGAAACCUUUUCCUGGACCCUCUUAAAGCGGCCCAGCUUUACCACUGAGCGUAGUUCUUAUUUCAUAUAUGGUGUCAAAUUUAGUAUUUUGGAAACAUUAACUUAAACCUAUCUGUAAGGCAAGAUUUUGGUAUAAUAAAUAUAUAAAAUGUGA